CCUACGGGGGGCAGCAGUCGAGAAUCAUUCACAAUGGGGGAAACCCUGAUGGUGCGACGCCGCGUGGGGGAAUGAAGGUCUUCGGAUUGUAAACCCCUGUCAUGUGGGAGCAAAUUAAAAAGAUAGUACCACAAGAGGAAGAGACGGCUAACUCUGUGCCAGCAGCCGCGGUAAUACAGAGGUCUCAAGCGUUGUUCGGAAUCACUGGGCGUAAGGCGUGCGUAGGCUGUUUCGUAAGUCGUGUGUGAAAGGCCCGGGCUCAACCCGCGGACUGCACAUGAUACUGUGCGACUAGAGAAUUGUAGGGGUAACCGGAAUGCUUGGUGUAGCAGUGAAAUGCGUAGAUAUCAAGAGGAACACUGGUGGCGAAGGCGGGUUACUAAACAUCAACUGACGUUGAGGCACGAAGGCGAGGGGAGCGAAAGGGAUUAGAUACCCCAGUAGUC
rnacentral:rRNA from 1 species